UACGAAGGGGGCUAGCGUUGCUCGGAAUACUGGCGUAAGCGCACGCAGGCGGUCUGUUAAGUUUGGAGUGACAGUUGGUGGCUUAACUGCCAAAGUGCUUCGAAACUGACAGACUUGAGGGCUUACAGAGGGACACGGAAUUCCCGGGUGUAGCGGUGAAAUCGCGUAGAUAUCGGGAGGAACACCUGUGGCGAAAGCGGGCUCACUGGACCACAACUGACGCUGAGGCGCGAAAGCGUGGGGAGCAAACAGG
rnacentral:rRNA from 1 species